rnacentral:rRNA from 1 species
GACGAACGCUGGCGGCGUGCCUAAUACAUGCAAGUCGAGCGAAGUUUUUCUGGUGCUUGCACCGGAAAAACUUAGCGGCGAACGGGUGAGUAACACGCAAAGAACCUGCCUUAUAGACUGGGACAACUAUUGGAAACGAUAGCUAAUACCGGAUAACAGCAUUAACUGCAUGGUUGAUGUUUGAAAGUUGGUUUUGCUAACACUAUGAGAUGGCUUUGCGGUGCAUUAGCUAGUUGGUGGGGUAAAGGCCUACCAAGGCGACGAUGCAUAGCCGACCUGAGAGGGUGAUCGGCCACACUGGGACUGAGACACGGCCCAGACUCCUACGGGAGGCAGCAGUAGGGAAUCUUCCGCAAUGGGCGAAAGCCUGACGGAGCAACGCCGCGUGAGUGAAGAAGGAUUUCGGUUCGUAAAGCUCUGUUGUUAGGGAAGAAUGAUUGUGUAGUAACUAUACACAGUAGAGACGGUACCUAACCAGAAAGCCACGGCUAACUACGUG